rnacentral:lncRNA from 1 species
AUUUCCCUAAAUCAAUGUCAGACACCAAACCACAGAUCCAGGAAACUCAGAGGGCUCCAAGCAGGAUGAAUGUCUCAAAACAAACAAACAAACAAACAAACAAACAAAAAACAAAAACCAAAAAAACUACACAUAAGGAUGUGGUAUUCAAACUUCAAAAAAAUCACAGGUAAAAAAAAAAUCUUGAAAAAUCCAGAAGAAAAAACAUCUUACCUGUGGAGGAGCAAAGAUAAGAAUGGCAUUUGACUUCUCAGAAACCAUGCAAGCAAGAAGGGAGUGAAAUAUUUAAGAUAUUAAGGGGAAAAACAUCAACUGGGAUUCUGUACCCUGUGAAAUUAUCCUUCAAAAUGAAGCAGAAUAAAGACUUCCUCAGACAAAAAGUUUAAGGAAUUUGUUGCUAGUAGAACUUACCUGUAAGAAAUGUCAAAAGAAGUUCUUUAAAGCAAAGGAAAAUGAUAAUAGGUUAGAAAUAUUUUUAAAUUAUUUCUUCCUAUGUAAUAUGUUUGUACAUGAAUAUAUUAGUCCUCAAAUUAUUUUUUUAAAAAGCAAAAUAACUCAUGACUAAUUAUUCAACCACUAUAGAUGAAUUUAUGACCACUAUUUAUGGUGCUUACAACUUGGAUUUCCUUAGAUCUAGUAUUUUCAUAGUUGAAUAUGUUAUGUCCAUAGUUGUCAAAGUACAAAACAACAUUUUCAUUUAGCCAUCUGCAGAGAAACACUACCUGGCAUCUUCAACUUUCAGAUAAUUCAUCACUUCUUUAAAUUUCUCUAUUAACUUAUAGGAAAUCAUUUAGGGGCUGUUUCUUUAGUAAAGUGAAAUUAAUCUACAUACUCCCUCUAUGUGUGUGUGUAUACAAUGCACGUAUACACAUUCAUUUCUAUAGUAUUUUAUAAACUAUGUACUUUAGAGCACUUUAGAGUAAUUAUAGUAGUAAAAAAAAAUAAUGUUCCAAAGUCAGAACACUCCACUCCUAUAAUUUGCCCUACUUUAGUCUGGUUAUUUAAUAUUUCUAAGCCUCAGAUGUCUCAUCUAUAAUAAUUUUUUGUACUUCAUAGGCUACUUUAGAAUUUAAAUGAGAUAAUAUAUGUAAAAUGCUCAGUUCCCUGAGUAUUGUUAUUAUUGCCUUGCUCUCACUUUGUAAGUUCCUAAUCAUCAUCAUUAUCAUCAUCUAGUUUAGGCCUCAAAUUUUUGAAAAGCAAAUUUUAUCCUUGGGUCAUCUUCUCCUCUGUCUUCUAUUUCAUCUUGUUAGGCUACACUGUGUACCCUUUGGACAUUUCAAAUGAACUCCUGUCAUUACUGAACUUUGUGAAAGUUUCCUACUACUGCCAUUCUUUCCCACUGACACUCAACCCAUCCCAAUCUGGUACCUUUUUCUCGUUGUAUUAAAGUUGAUCUUAUCAAAAUUGCCACUAAGUUAUCCAUUGCCAAAAUAUGUUUUAAAAAAUACUUAUGUAGUACAUUAAUUUCCCUGUAAUAAUUGAUUGUGGAAAUAAGCAUUACAGUGUUUUCUCCAAUGGCCUCAGCAACAUAACACUUUGCUUUUUCUCUUAAUCUUUAUGACUCACUAUUGCAGCUCCAUCACCUUAAUUGUUUCACAUUCUAUAUUUUUUUCCUAUUGAUAUUAUUAACUUGGUUAGCCUCAUUUACUUGCUGUUUUAUCAUUUAAACUGGGUUCCCAGUUCCAGGGGCAGUUGGGUAUUGCCACUUCCAAUUCUCCAGUUCUCUCUGCUUCUACCCUCAUAUUAAAUUGGAAACUCAUUUAUCAUCCUAAGAUACUUGCUAAGUAUCUAUCAUGACUGUCUUCUGCAACAGUCUUGAUUUAGUGCCUGCCAGUUCUUGUUUUUAUUAUAACAGCUUCCAACAUCAGAGCUCUGAAAGUAUCCAGUUAAUUAUGGCCAAACUUACACUUUUGUUACAACGAAUUAUUCAACACUCAGUUGCUUAAAACAGGAAUAAUUUAUUUUCAUAAAUCAGUGGAUCUCUGUGCUUGGCUGGACUCAGGGGUUUUGCUGAUCUUGGCUGGCUUGUUUGUCUCUCUGGUCAUUGGUCGAUUGAGGCUAGGGUAAGGGGAGGGCAGUUUGACUCUGCUACACCUGUCUUUAUUCCUCCUUCUAGAAUAGGAAUUUAGUCCAGACAUGGUGAUUAUAGGGCCACAUGAGUGGAAACAAAAACUCUGAAGGCUUCUUGUGUUCUAGGUUGGGAACUAGAAACUCACUAUGCCUUAUUUUAUUGCUAAAACAAGUCACGUUCAUUUGUACUCAAAGUCAAGGAGUGGGGAAAUAUACUGUGCUUCUUUUGUCAUAUGGCAAUGGCUAUGGAUACAGGGAUGAAUAAAGAAUUAGAACCAGUGAUGCAAUCUACCACACUGAGUAGCUUCUUCCCAACCCAAUCUGUUCCUUAUUACCACUGAUGCCUAGAAAUGUGAACUUUAUCAUGUUAAUUCCUAGCCUAAAAUCUGUUGGUUGCUUUUUGGAUAAAAUGCAGACUUCUUCCCUUGGCUCAUCAGACUUUUUAUCUGAUCUAAAUUCCUUUGCCAACUGGAAUGUUCAUCUGUUGUUUUGUCUGUCCAGCACUUCCAUUUUCCCUGAGGAAAUCAGUCACCUCUCCACCAUUCCAAAGCAUCCAGGAAUGGGCAUGGGCUGCAGGGUGAAAAAAUCCUAUUGCCCUUUCCCUUGCAACAGGAAUUCUUGCAUUGGUGGGGAAUAUUAGAGUGGGAGAAGCAAAUUCCUCUUUUUACUGAAGUUAUUACAGUCAUCUUGUCACCUUAUAAAGAAAGCCUGCCAGCAGAAUAAAGGCAUUAUAUACAAGAAGCAGAGCUGAGAAAUGGAGAAUAAUAGAACAAGCUCUAAAAACAUAUUUCUUCUCCUGAUCCUGGAUGCAGCCAUGCUUGCAUCUGUGUUUAAGUAAAAUCAUUUGAAUUAAUUUCAGUAUUAUGUAACCAAAAACUCCUGGCCCAACCCCACAUAUGUAUAUAUGGUCACUCACCCUUCUCCUAUCAGACCAUGAACCAACACUCUCACAUGUUUUGUAAAUGUAGUAUGUUCCACUCCCCACUGACAUUUGUUUUGUCAAAGUUUCCAAUGAUUUACUCACUGUAAAAACCCUGGAGUCUUUUUCCCUUUCUCCCAGCCAGAAAAUGUUAGUCAUUCUUUAAGAACAAAUUCACUGUAAAUGUCAUUUUUCCUAUGCAGUAUUUCCUAACCUCUCAGACAAAAUUAAUCUGUGGUUGUAUGCAUAUUUAAAGGUAGUAAGAAGAGAGAAAAAAGAGACCUAGACUCCUGUUGCAUGUUUCAAACUCGAUAAGCAUGAAGCUAAGAGUGAUUCCUCCUAUCCGCCUGUAAAUGCAGGCAACUCUACCUUCAGAAUUUACCUAGAAUCAGAUAACUUCUUAUAACUUCCAUUAUCACCUCUCUCAUGGAUCAUUGCAGGAGUGCCUGCUGGGUCUCUGUUUUCUGCCCUUCUCUCCCUAUACUUUAUUUUCAACACAUUAUGUCCCUGUAAUACCAAGUGGUAUAUGUUCACAAACUUGUCUCCAGGGCCCUGAAAAAUCUGGCCCCUCUUCCCUCUUUUUGGUCUCAUCUCCUUUCUCAUUCUGCCCUGGAUACAAGACCUUUCUGCAGCUUCCCACACCCAUCACACAUGUUCUGCUCCAGGGCCUUUGUAUUACUGUUCUUGGAAUUCUCUUACUCCAAAUAUCUGCCUUAGUUUCUUCUCGCCUUCUCAUGUCUUUGCUGGGAUGACAUCUCAGUGAGGGCCUAUGAGUUUAACAUAUUUAAGGUUUAGGCCUCUGUCCUCCUUCCUUGCGUUAUAUUCUCUAUAGAACUUAUAAAUAUAUAAUAUAUUGCAUAUCAUACUUGCAUAUUUUGUUUUUUGUCUGUUUCUGCUCACUAGGAUAUAAGCUCAGUGAGGUCAAUCAAGUUCUUGAUUGUUUAUUUAUUUGACUGUUUUAUUCAAUGUUAUCUCUUCAUUAUCUAGAAUAGUGUCUGACACACAGGAGGCUCUUAAUAAGUUUGUGUAAAAUAAAUAAGUGGUAACAGAUACUUUGGGUGUGUUUCACCAUUGUUCAGUGGUGUGAAGGUCAGGGACCAUAUGAAAUGUAUCCUUUUCUCUGCCCCUUACCCCCAUUGGACACUGGAGCACAUAAUAGGUUAUGUGUUUUAUGUGUUUUGUUUUUUGUUUUUGUUUUUUAGAUGCCCACAACUAGUGAGUGUUAGAGCUGAGAGGGGAACUACAUCUUCUAAAACUAAGUCUCUCCAUGACUGUUUUCUUCUUAUGACAAUGAAUCUCAGCCUCAGAAAAAUCUGGUUGGAGAGGUCUGAGUGUUAUCCUUUGACUUUUCAAAAACACUGUCUCAUUCAUGCUGAUUUGCUAUCAAAAAAUACGUUUAAUACUUGAUUCACCUGUGAGAAUUUAAGAAAAUGAUAAAAAUCGGUAAAGAAAUACUUGUUUGCCCCUUAAAAGCAUGGAGAGAGCAAUUAUAAUAAAGAGUUUUCAGGAUCAUUCAACAUUUUUUUCUCAGAAUCCUAGUCUUACUGUAAGGAGACUAAUUUACUGUCACUACUAUUACCCUCACCUCUGCUAGUGUUUGUUAACAUUGCUGAGCUGUCUUACUUGCAUAUCUUAUUAAUUCUCAAAACUCUCUUAUGAGGUGGUUACUAUUUGUUAACCCUAUUUUGUGGAAUAAGAAAUUGACUCAGAGGGGUUAGGUAAUGUUUUCAAGGUUGUUUUCAAAGCUUUUAGGAUUUGAACACAGACCUGUCUUCUUUCUGUCUGAAUGUGUGAUAUGAAGCUCAUGACAUUGCUGCAAAGUCUAUAUCCUAAAUAAUUGAGUUCUUCCAGGGUGCAUUUUAACAAUCUAUUGAAGGAAUUCCAAUACAAUUCAAAAAAUUGAUUCAAUGUGUUAUGUUAACAUUUUGCUUUUAUAUUAAAAUUAUGGAGUUCCUGUUGCAGUGCAGUGGAAAUGAAUCUGACUAGUAUGCACAAGGAUGCAGAUUCAAUCUCUGGCCUCAUUCAGUGGGUUAAGGAUCUGGUGUUGCUGUGAGCUGUGGUAUAGGCUGCAGACACAGCUUGGAUAUGGCAUUGCUAUGGCUGUGAUGUAGGCCAGCAGCUCUAGCUCCGAUUUAACCCCUAGCCUGGGAACUUCCAUAUGCUGCAGGUAUGGC